UAAUAGACUACCUGGUAGUCCACGCCCUAAACGAUGCGAACUGGAUGUUGGGUACAUUACGGUACUCAGUGUCGAAGCUAACGCGUUAGGUUCGCCGCCUGGGGAGUACGGUCGCAAGACUGAAACUCAAAGGAAUUGACGGGGGCCCGCACAAGCGGUGGAGUAUGUGGUUUAAUUCGAUGCAACGCGAAGAACCUUACCUGGCCUUGACAUCUGUCGAAUCCUGCAGAGAUGCGGGAGUGCCGCAAGGAACGACAAGACAGGUGCUGCAUGGCUGUCGUCAGCUCGUGUCGUGAGAUGUUGGGUUAAGUCCCGCAACGAGCGCAACCCUUGUCCUUAGUUGCCAGCACGUAAUGGUGGGAACUCUAAGGAGACUGCCGGUGACAAACCGGAGGAAGGUGGGGAUGACGUCAAGUCCUCGAUGGCCCUUACGGCCAGGGCUACACACGUACUACAAUGGUCGGUACAGAGGGUUGCGAAGCCGCGAGGCGGAGCCAAUCCCAGAAAGCCGAUCCCAGUCCGGAUUGGAGUCUGACC
rnacentral:rRNA from 1 species